GCGGAGCCGGUGAAGGAAGCCGCAGGCGCGGAUGGAGGCGAAGAGAUCAGGAGCAGUAAAGGAACACUCUCUUCCCCAGUCAGCUGGGAUACGGAUUUUGUAAGGCCUAGGGACUUUGUCUUUGGAGGUCCUGUCUCCAUAAGGCUUCCCAAAACAAAGAAUGUUCAGAUUGGACUGGCCUUAAAAUGCAGUAUUUAAAACAGCAACAUGUCUGACAGAUCCGAGAAAUGAAAUACGUCCAUUUCUUUUGGCAAGGAGCAGAAGGCAACAUAAAGCAGCUGCAAGAAUUAAUUCAUGGAGAUAGUUGACAUUUUCGAGCUGACUGCCUCUUAGAGAAAAUGAUGUCAUUCUCCAGCAGCCUAAUGACAGUCAUCAGCCUGAGAGGACACAUGCUAAUAAGACUAUCACCAGCAAAGAAUUUUCUGAGCAAAUGUGUACUGGAGACCUUCUGAGGAACCCACUAGAGCCUGCACAUCCCCUUUUCCUAGCAAGGUCAACUGGAAAACAGGUAAAAUGUGUGGGCUAGCAAACAAAUAAAGGAGGCGAGCCGUGGAUUUUGGAAGAAAUUGAUAUGUUGCAAGCAUAGAAGACCUGUAAUUCAGAAUGGUAUUUAUGGCUAAGGAGUUUCACCUUGUCCUAGCUUUGGCCACCUACUCUUGAUGGAAAUGAACUUCUGGAAAAAGAAACUCAUACUACUGGAUUUGGAGGAAGAGAACUAGAGUUUCAGCUCUGAUUUUGAUCAUCUAAUGCUUGAUUAUUAGAU
rnacentral:lncRNA from 1 species